rnacentral:lncRNA from 1 species
UAAUCUAUUAUAGAUUAAUAAAUUACAGAUCUAUUACAGAUUUCUACAAUAUUAUGCUUUCUAUGCGUACAAUCAUACUAAGACAAUAAACUUUAAACUGCUAGAAAAGAAAUACUUACAUACAACACUUGCAAAAACUAGAAAAAAGCUUCCACUCUUCUGGACAAUAGCUGGGUAGAUGAUCCCAGUGACAAUCACACAUAUAUGGUUCGCACAGCACUCUAAAACACGCAAAUAAAAUAUUAGAACUGACACUCAGAUAAAAUACUUGGACUCUCACUCUAGAAUACUCCGCCUCCCUUCCUUCCUUCGAUAUCCUUUACUAAGGAACCCUUCGCCCUUUUAUAAGCAUAUAGCGGACUUCAAAUUAUUAUUUCAGAUCCGUAACGCAAAAGCAAGUCUGAGGUGACUUAAAGAUGUCGGUGGCAGAUGCUGAGGUAAUUAAAGAUGUCGGUGGCAGAUGUUGAGGUGACUAAAGAUGUCGGUGGCAUAUGUUGUUGCUGAGGUGACUAAAGGUAAUAGUUUAUAAAAUGAUUAUAAACAAUAAACUUUCUAAUGCUGCAGUCUGUAAUAAUGGUAACUGCUUUGAACUCCCUUUCAUUAUGGUUAAAGAAUUAAGCCAAUCUGUAAUCCUAG